UACAGAGGUCUCAAGCGUUGUUCGGAUUCAUUGGGCGUAAAGGGUGUGUAGGUGGCGCCGUAAGUCGGGUGUGAAAUUUCGAGGCUUAACCUCGAAACUGCAUUCGAUACUGCGGUGCUUGAGGACUGGAGAGGAGACUGGAAUUCAUGGUGUAGCAGUGAAAUGCGUAGAUAUCAUGAGGAAGACCAGUGGCGAAGGCGGGUAUCUGGACAGUUCCUGACACUGAGACACGAAGGCCAGGGGAGCAAACGGG
rnacentral:rRNA from 1 species